rnacentral:rRNA from 1 species
UGUCCCUACGGGAGGCAGCAGUAGGGAAUUUUCGUCAAUGGGCGCAAGCCUGAACCAGCCAAGUCGCGUGAGGGAUGACGGCCCUAUGGGUUGUAAACCUCUUUUGCCGGGGAGCAAAGUGCCGCACGUGUGCGGUUUGGAGAGUACCCGGAGAAAAAGCAUCGGCUAACUCCGUGCCAGCAGCCGCGGUAAUACGGAGGAUGCGAGCGUUAUCCGGAUUUAUUGGGUUUAAAGGGUGCGUAGGCGGACGCUUAAGUCAGCGGUAAAAUUGCGGGGCUCAACUUCGUCGAGCCGUUGAAACUGGG